rnacentral:lncRNA from 1 species
UUUCCUACCAGGUAGAAUUUCCCGAAAGCGAAUUUGAUUUCAGGAAAUGGAAGAGGUACAGAGAAAGAUGUGGAAGAGAAGGCAGCAUAGCUAAAAAAAGAUUUACCCUGAUGAGACUCCAAGAACUAAAAGGAAAUUUUGCAGAUUAGAGAGAAACCUGUUGCUCAAUGUCUUCCAUUGGAAAGUUUGUGAUUGGCUAACGUCACCAUCAAUUAUCUGGGAAUAAAGAGGAAGAUAGUUACCUCAAGAGAGAACAGUUCUCACAGUAAGAAUGGUAAAAUUGACAGCAAACACUGACAUCUUUCCAAACAUUCUGUGCAACUCUCGUCGUCCUCCAAGGAGAACCAGGACGUCUCAGCACAAAAUGUAACCAGGUGAUCUCAGUUGUCUUACCAACUCAGCACCAUUACCACUCCCUUCCAAGGUGGGGAACUACAUUUCCCCAAAUUCCCUUUUCCUGUGUGGUUUUAGGUUACAGCCGCUAACAAGAGGAACUGUGAGACUUGGAAGACAAAAAUGAAGAGGAAGGAAGCCAUAUUCUCAGACAGCAUGGCGGCAAGGCAUGGUGGCUUUCUACAGGUGUCUCUGUGGCUGCCCUCUUC